rnacentral:rRNA from 1 species
CCGUACCGGAAGGUGUGGCUGGAUCACCUCCUUU